rnacentral:tRNA from 1 species
GAGGGUAUAGCUCAAUGGUAGAGUGUGUACUUAGUGUGAACAAGGUCCUGGCUUCAAUCCCCAGUGCCUUCA